rnacentral:rRNA from 1 species
AGCGAACGCUGGCGGCAGGCCUAACACAUGCAAGUCGAGCGCCCGUAGCAAUACGGGAGCGGCAGACGGGUGAGUAACACGUGGGAACGUACCCCUCGGUUCGGAAUAACCCAGGGAAACUUGGAUUAAUACCGGAUACGUCCGUAAGGAGAAAGAUUUAUCGCCGAAGGAUCGGCCCGCGUCCGAUUAGCUUGUUGGUGGGGUAAUGGCCCACCAAGGCUACGAUCGGUAGCUGGUCUGAGAGGAUGAUCAGCCACACUGGGACUGAGACACGGCCCAGACUCCUACGGGAGGCAGCAGUGGGGAAUAUUGGACAAUGGGCGCAAGCCUGAUCCAGCCAUGCCGCGUGGGUGAUGAAGGCCCUAGGGUUGUAAAGCCCUUUCGGCGGGGAAGAUAAUGACGGUACCCGCAGAAGAAGCCCCGGCUAACUUCGUGCCAGCAGCCGCCGUAACAC